AAGAGGAGCUACCUUUCGUCCCUUCUUCUUGUUCUUCACUGCCUUCGCAUUGCCUUGAUUUAUCAGCUCCAUGAUUGCCUCCAUUUGAUUCUUGGAGAGAGGCCUUGUGAAAAGACUUGCAAUCUGCUCGAAGGAAUUAACUAAGUCAAUGGAGCCUGAAGAAUUAGAGCUUUCAGUUUUUUUGCAAGUAUAAUUUCAUGUGCUUUGGAUAUUGCAUCCCAGUUACUCCCGAACUUCAUGAUUUUCUUCGUGGCCAGCCUGACACUUGAUCUCCUAGUGGUUGGUUGGUUCUGAACUCCCAUUACUGGGUGUGUGAUGGUCGUGCUACUUUUUGGCCGGGAUGGAAUCAAUGGUGGCUCUGGUGGAUUGGUUAUAGACGCGAUGAAAUCAUGCAGCUGAGUAUUGUCGGUCGAGCGGUUAUCUGUGGUCCUCAGUGCGGGUGAUACUCUUAAGGCUUCGUGGCCAUCGUUAUCGACUGGGUUCCCUCUGCGAGUCAUGGAUAAAUAAGGCAUCCCUUAGGCCGGCCUGUUCAGCACCAGACAAAUUUGACUCUACAACUUGAUUACCAUUUAAUAACUCAGGGCCCAACAGGUUAGUUGGAUGGAUAGCUAGGACAUUGGCUGGUUUAGAAGCAUUCAGGUUCACACUAGGAGGGCAAGCCGACACACUGUCCAAACUUCUGUGAAUUAUGGCGAAAACAUUAGCGAGAUCAACAGUAUUGAUUACCUUGCAAUGGGUGGCAGUAAGACCGUGCGUGGCUUUCUGGUUGUCAAUGAUGUUGGCUCCAGACUUGAAGACAUCGCCUUCAGGCAUCCCCUGAAUGUCCUCCGGAGGCCAAA
rnacentral:lncRNA from 1 species